UAGGAAAAAGCUUGCAUAGGAGAGCUUAGAACCUGCAAGGAAACAUCUCCAUUUGUAUCUACUCAUUCCGAUUCAUAAGAAGUGUCGGAAUUUAAUACAAAUUUAAGUGUCGGAAAUUUACUACAAAACUAGUAUAACUUUGUACUAAAUUUUUGAAACUUAUUAUGGAUCGAAGGGAGUACAAUUUAUGAAAAAACACUUUUUUCCACCUCUAAACCUACCAUAAAAUCUACCUGGACCAAUUACCGCAUCAUAAUCAGACUCACUCAACACAAUCUAACAACUAGGAUUAACCUUAUUCUUUUGCAAUUGUGCUCUUAGCAAUUGGAAGAACGUAUCUGCCCAAAGAUCGAUCCGUCGCUAGGCCAUAACAGAUUGCCAGGGAGGUACCGUCUCGGUGUGGGCACUGCUGGUGGUGACCGCAUUCCUCCAGGGCAUGCGAGAAAAUUUCGCAAACUUGAAAUACAACUUUUUACAGUACUACAAAACAUCACAUCAGUAACGGGCCAAAAACGCCAUCAGUGGUGGGCGGGGCGACCGCCGCAAACUUCUUGCCGGUGAUGAGGUGCCAAGCAGCCGUUAGUGAUGGGGCGUCUCAUCAAUGGCGGUCAUGCCCCACGACCGACACUGAUGGGAAUUUGUAUAAAUAGAAAAACAAGGCCGGCCCUAGGCCUGCCCCAAAUCCACACGACACCCCUACAAAGUUUUUCACAAAUCACAGAUAAGCACGAAUUACAAAUCACAGAUCAAUAAUCAUGGAUUACAUUACAAAUCACAGAUCAAUCAAUCACGGAUUACAAAUCACAGAUCAAUCAAUCACGGAUUACAAAUUGCAAAAAGGGCAGGAGGCCGGAUCUCACGGCGAUUGUUGUGGCCGGCCACCAAACUUGCUCCCCGACCAGAGAGGGUGUGAGAGUGAACGAGAGGUGAAGGGGGGGGGCGAGAGAGAGAGAGAGACUAUACCGGCAGCGGGGAAGUCGGUCUCGGCCGGAAUCGUCGGCUGGGGGGCGCGGUUGGCGGCAAGGGAGGCCGAAUCCGGCUGCUGCUGGGCCGAGGGAGGCCGAAUCCGGUGGCUGGCUGGGUCGGUGCCGACGGAUCCGGCAGCACCAUGCCCCGCUGCUGCUGGUGCUCCAUGCGUCCCCACUGCUGUUGCUCCAUGCGCCCUGGGAGGAAGGGAGAGGGGCUUGCUGGGGGCUUGGUUUGGGGUCGGCGCAACGGAAUAGAGAAGAGAGGGAGAGACGAGAGCAGUGGGAGGCGAGCAAGAACAAAGAGAGAAGAGGUGGUGGCCGCGGCAGGGGGAAUAGAGGGAGGGUGAGGGCGGGGAUUAGGGAUUUAGGGUUAGCAAAAUGGUUAUAUAGGGAAUGGAUUGGGUUGGGCCUUAGAUGCGGUGGCCGGGCCGACUGUCGCACCAAUAGCCCACGGGGCUCCACUGGUACGGGACGCGUGGGUCGCAACUGAC
rnacentral:lncRNA from 1 species